AUCCAACUGACGAGUUCCACUUAGGACGGAACGCGCAUUCUGGAU
rnacentral:hammerhead_ribozyme from 1 species